GCUGGUAUAGUUUUGUCAUAGUUAUUUGGACCAGAUCGGACCAGCGGUCAGACCAUUAAAAGACCAAACCAAAAACUAAAUUGGUCCGAUUUACCUAAACGACUAUAUAUACAAUCAAAUCAGUAAAAACCGAUUAAACCAGCUGGUUUUUUAUUUUUUAUGGAACGGUGACCGGCCGGUUCCCGGUCUGUUUAAUAGCGCGUGCGCACCUAUCCUGUUGUGCAGGGUGGUGUGGUUGUAGUGCUUGCACUUAACAUUAGUGGGCCCAUCUGGCAGCUCUACAGUCCUCACGCUUCAUGCACCUACCAUCCAUUGGCCUUGCUGCAACUCACCUUUGGAGUUUGAAUGUUGCAUGCGCGUGGUGCUGCUCUACUGACUUUUUUAGUGCCUGCGUGUCUGCAUUAUCUUUUAAAUUUCAAAAUUUUAUAUUUUUUUUCUAAUGAGCUCUAAAUUAGAUAAAUAAUAUAUCUAUUUUAAUUAACACAAUGUGCUCUUUGCAACGGUGCACUCUAUUUUAGCAUUUGAAUUUUUUUGCAAUGGUGAAUAUUUCUACUAUUUUAGUCAUUUUGUUUUGAAUUAUCACAACGAGAUUGCUCGCAUUCAGUAUCUGCAUAUCUAUGAACUUAUGGUUGUACAAUUAAAUUGUGUUAU
rnacentral:lncRNA from 1 species